rnacentral:rRNA from 1 species
UACAGAGGUCCCGAGCGUUGUUCGGAUUCACUGGGCGUAAAGGGUGCGUAGGCGGUUCUGAAAGUCUGAUGUGAAAUCUCCAGGCCCAACCUGGAAACUGCAUUAGAAACUACAGGGCUAGAGGCUUGGAGGGGGAACUGGAAUUCUCGGUGUAGCAGUGAAAUGCGUAGAGAUCGAGAGGAACACCAGUGGCGAAGGCGAGUUCCUGGACAAGUCCUGACGCUGAGGCACGAAAGCCAGGGGAGCAAACGGG